GCUCAGGAUGAACGCUAGCGGGAGGCCUAACACAUGCAAGUCGAGGGGUAACAGGGAGCUUGCUCCGCUGACGACCGGCGCACGGGUGAGUAACGCGUAUGCAACCUGCCUUUUACAGGAGAAUAGCCCGGAGAAAUCCGGAUUAAUACUCCAUGGUAUUAAGAGACCGCAUGGUUUUUUAAUUAAAGAUUUAUCGGUAAAAGAUGGGCAUGCGUGACAUUAGUUUGUUGGUGAGGUAACGGCUCACCAAGACUACGAUGUCUAGGGGUUCUGAGAGGAUGAUCCCCCACACUGGUACUGAGACACGGACCAGACUCCUACGGGAGGCAGCAGUGAGGAAUAUUGGUCAAUGGGCGCAAGCCUGAACCAGCCAUCCCGCGUGAAGGAAGACUGCCCUAUGGGUUGUAAACUUCUUUUCUGCACCAAGAAUGGACAUUACGUGUAGUGUUUUGACGGUAGUGCAGGAAUAAGCAUCGGCUAACUCCGUGCCAGCAGCCGCGGUAAUACGGAGGAUGCAAGCGUUAUCCGGAUUCAUUGGGUUUAAAGGGUACGUAGGUGGCCCAGUAAGUCAGUGGUGAAAUCCUGCCGCUUAACGGUAGAACUGCCAUUGAUACUGCUGGGCUUGAGUACAGUUGAGGUAGGCGGAAUGUGUAGUGUAGCGGUGAAAUGCUUAGAUAUUACACAGAACCCCGAUUGCGAAGGCAGCUUACUAAACUGUAACUGACACUGAGGUACGAAAGCGUGGGGAGCGAACAGGAUUAGAUACCCUGGUAGUCCACGCCGUAAACGUUGCUCACUCGCUGUAUGCGAUACACAGUAUGCGGCCAAGCGAAAGUAU
rnacentral:rRNA from 1 species